UACGUAGGGUGCGAGCGUUAAUCGGAAUUACUGGGCGUAAAGCGUGCGCAGGCGGUUCGUUAAGUCAGCUGUGAAAGCCCCGGGCUCAACCUGGGAACUGCGGUUGAAACUGGCGAACUAGAAUCUGGCAGAGGGGGGUGGAAUUCCACGUGUAGAGGUGAAAUUCGUAGAUAUUGGGAAGAACACCGGUGGCGAAGGCGGCUCACUGGUUCAUAUCUGACGCUCAGGCGCGACAGCGUGGGGAUCAAACAGG
rnacentral:rRNA from 1 species